CACAUACUCCCUUUGUCCAGAAAUACUUGUCGGAGAAAUGGAUGUAUCUAGAUGCAUUUUAGUUCUAGAUACAUCCAUUUUUACCCAUUUUCCCGACAAGUAUUUCCAGACGGAGGGAGUACAUG
rnacentral:pre_miRNA from 1 species